AUGGACGCAAGUCUGAUGGAGCAACGUCCGCGUGAGUGAAGAAGGGUUUCGGCUCGUAAAGCUCUGUUGGUAGUGAAGAAAGAUAGAGGUAGUAACUGGCCUUUAUUUGACGGUAAUUACUUAGAAAGUCACGGCUAACUACGUGCCAGCAGCCGCGGUAAUACGUAGGUGGCAAGCGUUGUCCGGAUUUAUUGGGCGUAAAGCGAGUGCAGGCGGUUCAAUAAGUCUAAUGUGAAGGCCUUCGGCUCAGCCGGAGAAUUGCAUCAGAAACUGUUGAACUUGAGUGCAGAAGAGGAGAGUGGAACUCCAUGUGUAGCAGUGGAAUGCGUAGAUAUAUGGAAGAACACCAGUGGCGAAGGCGGCUCUCUGGUCUGCAACUGACGCUGAGGCUCGAAAGCAUGGGUAGCGAGCAGGAUUAGAUACCCUGGUAGUCCAUGCCGUAAACGAUGAGUGCUAAGUGUUGGGAGGUUUCCGCCUCUCAGUGCUGCAGCUAACGCAUUAAGCACUCCGCCUGGGGAGUACGACCGCAAGGUUGAAACUCAAAGGAAUUGACGGGGGCCCGCACAAGCGGUGGAGCAUGUGGUUUAAUUCGAAGCAACGCGAAGAACCUUA
rnacentral:rRNA from 1 species